UACAGAGGGUGCAAGCGUUAAUCGGAAUUACUGGGCGUAAAGCGUGCGUAGACGGUUACAUAAGUCGGGUGUGAAAGCCCCGGGCUCAACCUGGGAAUUGCAUUCGAGACUGCGUAGCUAGGGUGCGGAAGAGGGAAGCGGAAUUUCCGGUGUAGCGGUGAAAUGCGUAGAUAUCGGAAAGAACACCGGUGGCGAAGGCGGUGGUCUGGGCCGAAACUGACGCUGAGGAGCGAAAGCCAGGGGAGCAAACGGG
rnacentral:rRNA from 1 species